AUUGAACGCUGGCGGCAUGCCUUACACAUGCAAGUCGAACGGCAGCGGACCUUCGGGUGCCGGCGAGUGGCGAACGGGUGAGUAAUGCAUCGGAACGUACCUUUCAGUGGGGGAUAACGUAGCGAAAGUUACGCUAAUACCGCAUAUUCUGUGAGCAGGAAAGCAGGGGAUCGCAAGACCUUGCGCUGAUUGAGCGGCCGAUGUCAGAUUAGCUAGUUGGUGAGGUAAAGGCUCACCAAGGGGACGAUCUGUAGCGGGUCUGAGAGGAUGAUCACCCACACUGGGACUGAGACCCGGCCCAGACUCCUGCGGGAGGCAACAGUGGGGAAUUUUGGACAAUGGGCGCAACCCGGUUCCAGCCAUGCCGCGUGCGUGAAGAAGGCUUUCGGGUUGUAAAGCUCUUUCGGCCGAGAAGAAAUCGCACAGGCUAAUACCUUGUUUGGAUGACGGUACCGGAAUAAGAAGCACCGGCUAACUACGUGCCAGCCGCCGCCGUAAUAC
rnacentral:rRNA from 1 species